rnacentral:rRNA from 1 species
UGGGGAAUAUUGGACAAUGGGCGCAAGCCUGAUCCAGCCAUGCCGCGUGAGUGAUGAAGGCCCUAGGGUUGUAAAGCUCUUUCACCGGUGAAGAUAAUGACGGUAACCGGAGAAGAAGCCCCGGCUAACUUCGUGCCAGCAGCCGCGGUAAUACGAAGGGGGCUAGCGUUGUUCGGAAUUACUGGGCGUAAAGCGCACGUAGGCGGACAUUUAAGUCAGGGGUGAAAUCCCGGGGCUCAACCCCGGAACUGCCUUUGAUACUGGGUGUCUAGAGUUCGAGAGAGGUGAGUGGAAUUCCGAGUGUAGAGGUGAAAUUCGUAGAUAUUCGGAGGAACACCAGUGGCGAAGGCGGCUCACUGGCUCGAUACUGACGCUGAGGUGCGAAAGCGUGGGGAGCAAAACAGGAUUAGAUACCCUGGUAGUCCACGCCGUAAACGAUGGAAGCCAGCUGUCGGCAAGUUUACUUGUCGGUGGCGCAGCUAACGCAUUAAGCUUCCCGCCUGGGGAGUACGGUCGCAAGAUUAAAACUCAAAGGAAAUUGACGGGGUCAUAGCUGUUUCCUG